UGGGGAACAUUGCACAAUGGGCGAAAGCCUGAUGCAGCGACGCCGCGUGAGGGAUGACGGCCUUCGGGUUGUAAACCUCUUUCAGCAGGGAAGAAGCGAAAGUGACGGUACCUGCAGAAGAAGCGCCGGCUAACUACGUGCCAGCAGCCGCGGUAAUACGUAGGGCGCAAGCGUUGUCCGGAAUUAUUGGGCGUAAAGAGCUCGUAGGCGGUUAGUCGCGUCUGCUGUGAAAACUCGAGGCUCAACCUCGGGCUUGCAGUGGGUACGGGCUGACUAGAGUGCGGUAGGGGUGACUGGAAUUCCUGGUGUAGCGGUGGAAUGCGCAGAUAUCAGGAGGAACACCGAUGGCGAAGGCAUGUCACUGGGCCGCAACUGACGCUGAGGAGCGAAAGCAUGGGGAGCGAACAGGAUUAGAUACCCUGGUAGUCCAUGCCGUAAACGUUGGGCACUAGGUGUGGGGUCCAUUCCACGGAUUCCGUGCCGCAGCAAACGCAUUAAGUGCCCCGCCUGGGGAGUACGGCCGCAAGGCUAAAACUCAAAUGAAUUGACGGGGUCAUAGCUGUUUCCU
rnacentral:rRNA from 1 species